rnacentral:rRNA from 1 species
UAGGGAAUCUUCCGCAAUGGACGCAAGUCUGACGGAGCAACGCCGCGUGAGUGAAGAAGGAUUUCGGUUCGUAAAACUCUGUUGUUAGAGAAGAACAGCGCAUAGAGUAACUGUUAUGCGUGUGACGGUAUCUAACCAGAAAGCCACGGCUAACUACGUGCCAGCAGCCGCGGUAAUACGUAGGUGGCAAGCGUUGUCCGGAUUUAUUGGGCGUAAAGCGAGCGCAGGCGGUUAGAAAAGUCUGAAGUGAAAGGCAGUGGAUCAACCAUUGUAGGCUUUGGAAACUGUUUAACUUGAGUGCAGAAGGGGAGAGUGGAAUUCCAUGUGUAGCGGUGAAAUGCGUAGAUAUAUGGAGGAACACCGGUGGCGAAGGCGGCUCUCUGGUCUGUAACUGACGCUGAGGCUCGAAAGCGUGGGGAGCGAACAGG